GGGUUGUGAGGUUAAGCGACUAAGCGUACACGGUGGAUGCCCUGGCAGUCAGAGGCGAUGAAGGGCGUGCUAAUCUGCGAUAAGCGCCGGUAAGGUGAUAUGAACCGUUAUAACCGGCGAUACCCGAAUGGGGAAACCCAGUGUGAUUCGUCACACUAUCAUUAACUGAAUCCAUAGGUUAAUGAGGCGAACCGGGGGAACUGAAACAUCUAAGUACCCCGAGGAAAAGAAAUCAACCGAGAUUCCCCCAGUAGCGGCGAGCGAACGGGGAGGAGCCCAGAGCCUGAAUCAGCAUGUGUGUUAGUGGAAGCGUCUGGAAAGGCGCGCGAUACAGGGUGACAGCCCCGUACACAAAAGCGCAUGUGCUGUGAGCUCGAUGAGUAGGGCGGGACACGUGGUAUCCUGUCUGAAUAUGGGGGGACCAUCCUCCAAGGCUAAAUACUCCUGACUGACCGAUAGUGAACCAGUACCGUGAGGGAAAGGCGAAAAGAACCCCGGCGAGGGGAGUGAAAAAGAACCUGAAACCGUGUACGUACAAGCAGUGGGAGCCCCACCACUAAGCCAGUGGUGAACUCCACAUACGCAUCCUUUGCUGAGGAUACGGUUAACGGAGCGAAAGCGACGUUCAACCGCAAAAGAAGCAGAGGGGGCUUAGUGGUGGGGUGACUGCGUACCUUUUGUAUAAUGGGUCAGCGACUUAUAUUCUGUAGCAAGGUUAACCGUAUAGGGGAGCCGGAGGGAAACCGAGUCUUAAUUGGGCGUUAAGUUGCAGGGUAUAGACCCGAAACCCGGUGAUCUAGCCAUGGGCAGGUUGAAGGUUGGGUAACACUAACUGGAGGACCGAACCGACUAAUGUUGAAAAAUUAGCGGAUGACCUGUGGCUGGGGGUGAAAGGCCAAUCAAACCGGGAGAUAGCUGGUUCUCCCCGAAAGCUAUUUAGGUAGCGCCUCGUGAACUCAUCUCCGGGGGUAGAGCACUGUUUCGGCUAGGGGGCCAUCCCGGCUUACCAACCCGAUGCAAACUGCGAAUACCGGAGAAUGUUAUCACGGGAGACACACGGCGGGUGCUAACGUCCGUCGUGAAGAGGGAAACAACCCAGACCGCCAGCUAAGGUCCCAAAGUCAUGGUUAAGUGGGAAACGAUGUGGGAAGGCCCAGACAGCCAGGAUGUUGGCUUAGAAGCAGCCAUCAUUUAAAGAAAGCGUAAUAGCUCACUGGUCGAGUCGGCCUGCGCGGAAGAUGUAACGGGGCUAAACCAUGCACCGAAGCUGCGGCAGCGACACUGUGUGUUGUUGGGUAGGGGAGCGUUCUGUAAGCCUGUGAAGGUGUGUCGUGAGGCAUGCUGGAGGUAUCAGAAGUGCGAAUGCUGACAUAAGUAACGAUAAAGCGGGUGAAAAGCCCGCUCGCCGGAAGACCAAGGGUUCCUGUCCAACGUUAAUCGGGGCAGGGUGAGUCGACCCCUAAGGCGAGGCCGAAAGGCGUAGUCGAUGGGAAACGGGUUAAUAUUCCCGUACUUGGUGUUACUGCGAAGGGGGGACGGAGAAGGCUAUGUUGGCCGGGCGACGGUUGUCCCGGUUUAAGCGUGUAGGCUGGUUUUCCAGGCAAAUCCGGAAAAUCAAGGCUGAGGCGUGAUGACGAGGCACUACGGUGCUGAAGCAACAAAUGCCCUGCUUCCAGGAAAAGCCUCUAAGCAUCAGGUAACAUCAAAUCGUACCCCAAACCGACACAGGUGGUCAGGUAGAGAAUACCAAGGCGCUUGAGAGAACUCGGGUGAAGGAACUAGGCAAAAUGGUGCCGUAACUUCGGGAGAAGGCACGCUGACACGUAGGUGAAGUGAUUUACUCACGGAGCUGAAGUCAGUCGAAGAUACCAGCUGGCUGCAACUGUUUAUUAAAAACACAGCACUGUGCAAACACGAAAGUGGACGUAUACGGUGUGACGCCUGCCCGGUGCCGGAAGGUUAAUUGAUGGGGUCAGCGCAAGCGAAGCUCCUGAUCGAAGCCCCGGUAAACGGCGGCCGUAACUAUAACGGUCCUAAGGUAGCGAAAUUCCUUGUCGGGUAAGUUCCGACCUGCACGAAUGGCGUAAUGAUGGCCAGGCUGUCUCCACCCGAGACUCAGUGAAAUUGAACUCGCUGUGAAGAUGCAGUGUACCCGCGGCAAGACGGAAAGACCCCGUGAACCUUUACUAUAGCUUGACACUGAACAUUGAGCCUUGAUGUGUAGGAUAGGUGGGAGGCUUUGAAGUGUGGACGCCAGUCUGCAUGGAGCCGACCUUGAAAUACCACCCUUUAAUGUUUGAUGUUCUAACGUGGACCCGUUACCCGGGUUGCGGACAGUGUCUGGUGGGUAGUUUGACUGGGGCGGUCUCCUCCUAAAGAGUAACGGAGGAGCACGAAGGUUGGCUAAUCCUGGUCGGACAUCAGGAGGUUAGUGCAAUGGCAUAAGCCAGCUUGACUGCGAGCGUGACGGCGCGAGCAGGUGCGAAAGCAGGUCAUAGUGAUCCGGUGGUUCUGAAUGGAAGGGCCAUCGCUCAACGGAUAAAAGGUACUCCGGGGAUAACAGGCUGAUACCGCCCAAGAGUUCAUAUCGACGGCGGUGUUUGGCACCUCGAUGUCGGCUCAUCACAUCCUGGGGCUGAAGUAGGUCCCAAGGGUAUGGCUGUUCGCCAUUUAAAGUGGUACGCGAGCUGGGUUUAGAACGUCGUGAGACAGUUCGGUCCCUAUCUGCCGUGGGCGCUGGAGAACUGAGGGGGGCUGCUCCUAGUACGAGAGGACCGGAGUGGACGCAUCACUGGUGUUCGGGUUGUCAUGCCAAUGGCACUGCCCGGUAGCUAAAUGCGGAAGAGAUAAGUGCUGAAAGCAUCUAAGCACGAAACUUGCCCCGAGAUGAGUUCUCCCUGAGACUUAGAGUCUCCUGAAGGAACGUUGAAGACGACGACGUUGAUAGGCCGGGUGUGUAAGCGCAGCGAUGCGUUGAGCUAACCGGUACUAAUGAACCGUGAGGCUUAACCUUACAACGCCGAAG
rnacentral:rRNA from 2 species